rnacentral:rRNA from 1 species
AAAAGUUGGUGCGUCUUAAACAUGCAGUCGGGGAGACGGGGUAGCAAUAUCCCUAGUAAACCGGCGAACGGGUGAGUAACGCGUAGGUAACCUACCUUGUGGACGGGGAUAACUCCGGGAAACCGGGGCUAAUACCCGAUGCUGUCCGACUGCAGCAUUGCAGUUUGAUGAAAAGUCCCAAAAGGAUGUCGCAAGAUGGGCCUGCGUCCCAUUAGAUAGUUGGCGGGAUAACAGCCCACCAAGUCAACGAUGGGUAGCUGGUCUGAGAGGACGACCAGUCACACUGGAACUGAGACACGGUCCAGACUUCUACGGAAGGCAGCAGUGAGGAAUAUUGCUCAAUGGGCGAAAGCCUGAAGCAGCGACGCCGCGUGAAGGAUGAAAUUCUUUUAGAAUGUAAACUUCUUUUGCAGGGGAAGAAUGUCCCGCUUUGGCGGGAUUGACGGUACCCUGUGAAUAAGCACCGGCCAACUACGUGCCAGCAGCCGCGGUAAUACGUAGGGUGCAAGCGUUGUCCGGAAUUACUGGGUGUAAAGGGUCCGCAGGCGGGUAAGCAAGUCGGUGGUGAAAUCCUGCAGCUCAACUGCAGAACUGCCUCUGAUACUGUUUAUCUUGAGUUCGAGAGAGGAUGAUGGAAUUCAUGGUGUAGCGGUGAAAUGCGUAGAUAUCAUGAAGAAUACCGGUUGCGAAGGCGGUCAUCUGGCUCGAUACUGACGCUCAGGGACGAAAGCGUGGGGAGCAAACAGGAUUAGAUACCCUGGUAGUCCACGCCUUAAACGAUGGAUGUUCGGUGUCGGUCCCGUCCAGCACUUGCGUGCAAGUGUUGAACGGGUCGGUGCCUGAGCUAACGCGUUAAACAUCCCACCUGGGAGUACGAUCGCAAGGUU